AGAGUUUGCAAGAACUUACUGAAAAUAUGAAAAGGCAGGUUAAUCACCUCUGUGGCAUAGUUUCACAAAUGCAACAUUCUUUGGAGAAAUCAUUGUUGCUAAACUGUGGAGAUUGUAGCCCAUCUUUGCCAGAACAAAGGCAGGAAAGCGGUGACGGGACCAACCCUGUAGGAACAUCUCUUCAGUCAGCAGCACUCCCUGAACUGCAGCAGCCAGUCCUCGUGGAGAGUCCACCGCUUCCCAGAAUUGUCUCCACAUAUUCAUUACAGCCGUGCACCACACCAAGCAGCCCCUUUCCUGUUCUUGCUCUCCCAUCCUACUUUUUCAGUGAAGGUACUGAAAGUACCAACGGUGUUAUCUCAUCUGCCGAGGCUGCCCCAGCUGUACCUGCAGCAGUUCUGCCGCAAGGAGAACCCAGUCUAGCAGACACUGCUGGGACGAUGAACUAUUCAACUAUAAUGGAAAAUAACAGCGUGGGUGCAGACACUGCCUUGCCAUCACUCUGUAUCCCUCCCAAUUUUGAAAUGCCAGGAAAAGCAGAAACCGGCCUUGGAAACAGUACUAAAUCAAUGCAUUACCCGACUUUCUUGGGAAGUGACAGUGGCCGAGAUACUACCUCUUCAUCUGUCUUCAGCCCUCCCAAUUUUGCUUUGCCAAAAAUAGCAGAAACCAGCCUGGAAAACAGCCCUGAGACAAUGUGUUAUCCAACUUUAUCGGGAAGUGACAGUGGCCAAUAUUCUUCUUCAUCUGUCAGCCUCCCACCUAAUUUUGGUGAGUUUCAAAUGAUACAUUACUAUAAGUAGCACUAUUUUUAAAAAUUUAUUUUCUUUUUUAUUCCUUUAAAAUUUUUUUUUGGCCGCACCAGGAGCAUGUGGAAGUUCCCGGGCUGAGGAUAGAACCCACACCAAAGCAGUCACAAUGCCAUAUCUUUAACCACUAAGCCACCAGGGUACUCUUAUAAGUAGACUAUUUAAUCUAGAUGCAUCAAUGUCUUUAAUGCAAGCUAGUGGUAACCUAUUUUUAUUUUAUUUGUUUUUAAAUUUUAUUUAUUUAUUUAUUUAUUUUGUCUUUUUGCUAUUUCUUGGGCCG
rnacentral:lncRNA from 1 species